UACGUAGGAUGCAAGCGUUGUCCGGAAUUACUGGGCGUAAAGGGCGAGCAGGUGGCAAGUCAAGUCUGAUGUGAAAUCUCCCGGCUUAACUGGGAGGGGCCAUUGGAAACUGACUAGCUGGAGUGCAGGAGAGGCUAACGGAAUUCCCGGUGUAGUGGUGAAAUGCGUAGAUAUCGGGAGGAACACCAGUGGCGAAGGCGGUAUCCUGGACCGAGAUUGACACUAAAGCGCGAAAGCCAGGGGAGCAAACGGG
rnacentral:rRNA from 1 species